UUUAGAGUUUGAUUCCCGCUCAGGACGAACGCUGGCGGCGUGCCUAAUACAUGCAAGUCGAACGCUUCUUUUCCCACCGGAGCUUGCUCCACCGGGAAAAGAGGAGUGGCGAACGGGUGAGUAACACGUGGGUAACCUGCCCAUCAGAAGGGGAUAACACUUGGAAACAGGUGCUAAUACCGUAUAACAAUCGAAACCGCAUGGUUUCGUUUUGAAAGGCGCUUUACGGUGCCGCUGAUGGAUGGACCCGCGGUGCAUUAGCUAGUUGGUGAGGUAACGGCUCACCAAGGCCACGAUGCAUAGCCGACCUGAGAGGGUGAUCGGCCACAUUGGGACUGAGACACGGCCCAAACUCCUACGGGAGGCAGCAGUAGGGAAUCUUCGGCAAUGGACGAAAGUCUGACCGAGCAACGCCGCGUGAGUGAAGAAGGUUUUCGGAUCGUAAAACUCUGUUGUUAGAGAAGAACAAGGGUGAGAGUAACUGUUCACCCCUUGACGGUAUCUAACCAGAAAGCCACGGCUAACUACGUGCCAGCAGCCGCGGUAAUACGUAGGUGGCAAGCGUUGUCCGGAUUUAUUGGGCGUAAAGCGAGCGCAGGCGGUUUCUUAAGUCUGAUGUGAAAGCCNCCGGCUCAACCGGGGAGGGUCAUUGGAAACUGGGAGACUUGAGUGCAGAAGUUAGAGAUG
rnacentral:rRNA from 1 species